rnacentral:rRNA from 1 species
GACGUAGGGUGCAAGCGUUGUCCGGAAUUAUUGGGCGUAAAGGGCUCGUAGGCGGUCUGUCACGUCGGGAGUGAAAACUCGGGGCUUAACCCCGAGCCUGCUUCCGAUACGGGCAGACUAGAGGUAUGCAGGGGAGAAUGGAAUUCCUGGUGUAGCGGUGAAAUGCGCAGAUAUCAGGAGGAACACCGGUGGCGAAGGCGGUUCUCUGGGCAUUACCUGACGCUGAGGAGCGAAAGUGUGGGGAGCGAACAGG